ensembl:lncRNA
UGGGAAUGUGUGCCUUUAGUUUUAACCCAUAUAUGCUGGGUUCACUGUAGGGGAACCGAUAUCAGGGCUGAUAUUAACUAAGAGCCAGUGACAAUGCUCCCAUUCAGAAUACCUAUAGCUCACUAAACUUCUUCAUUUCGUGAAGACAAUUUUGUCAUGUGACAUGGCUGCUAUAUGGAUUGGAUAGUUCAUCGAAUUGGAGUGUCAAAAUUUGAUCUUCUUUAGACGCAGAAAAGCCAUCCAAAGAAAACUGGCAGCAAUGCCUCCUGAUUCAUCAGCUUUUCUGAGUCAGAAGACAAAAGUGCCUUGAAUUACCCAGCAAAUCAUUGUACAGAGAUGCAAAGUCAAAUGUCAUAUUUCGCUAAGCCCAGCCGGCAGCAGCAGGAAUGCCAGACAACAACCUUGCCUGAAUGUUGGGCAGGUUGGAACUUUUCUUGACGUGGUCAUUUAAACGUGCAAUAGGUUUGUAGUCCUCACGUCUGUCACCUGGACAGGUCCUGGCUCCCUCCUUAAUGGGUCUGCUGCAAAGGCUACAGAGAACGAAUCAUGCUCAGGGACACGGAAGGGUUUCAACCACACGAUCCUCUGAAGCAGAGAAGCCGUGCCUGUCCCCAGCUCCCCAGGGAUCUAGCUAGGAAGUUUUACUUCAUUUUCUCUCCACCACCCACUGAGACUAUUCUAGAGAAUACCUCCCAAGUUAAGGACAGAGUCUCUAAGAAACUAUACAAAAUAGGGUCAAGAAACUGAACCCUUAGGGGUAUGAUAUAUUAACGUGAUGAGAAUUUCUGCAAUGAGUCGAUUUGACAUUCCUUGUAUGACAUGAGCUGGACUUUUUAAAAAAAAUUCUGGAUUCCAGGCCCUCCCCCGCUUUCCUCGCCUCGGCCUUGGAAAAUGCCCUAAAUUCUUUCCUAUCAACUCAGUCUAACUGUACAGGUCAUGGGUGAAUUAUAUUUUUAAGGCAAAUUUCAGCUUACUUGGUCAAACUGCUUCAGAAGAAAAAAUGAUGAUUUGAAAGAGUUCUGGAUGGGCCCCACUGAGGAAACCAGCGCAGCUGCGAGCAGAUCACUACUUGUCCUGAAGGAGGAGUCUGCCCUCGCCUGAGAGAGGGGCAGUGUUCCUCCUCUGGAAUGACAAGUUUCCC